GAGCUGCCAACCAUGGCUGACAAUCCCCAUCUGCCCGAAGCAACUGGUUUUAAGAUGCCUUUUCCCCUUCUGACAGUAGGAACAGUUCCACUGGGUUUAGUAGCGAAACCACACUUGAAGGCCAGGAGUUGGACUUGGUUGCCAGAGGUUAUAUCAAGUGCAUGCAUUUAAUAGAUAGUGGGAGCUUAUCCCCAUUACCUCCCCUGGCUACGACAACCUCAAGGAACCAAAAUAACAAAGUGGAAACUAUUUGGUGAUGAAUAAGAGGCAGUUCCAGAGCAGAGGAAGAGAUGUCGAUGAAUGUAGACAGGCUGGAGUACAAUUGUGUUGUGGAGAGACAGUGGGUGCACUGUCCAGUAAACAGGGAUAUCUGUUACUUUUAGAUUUGAUUAGAAAGUGAGUGAUGUGGGAACAGGUUGUAACCCAAAUAGAAAUGAAGACUAACUCUACUUUUCAUCCACCUCCCCUUUUCUGACCAGGUUUAUACUGAGCGGAAGCUGUAUGUAAAAGAGUGGCGGAAAAGAAAGAGAAUGGCAACAGAUCUGAUCGAUGCUAUUCUGGAAGGGUAUCCCAAAAGCAAGAGGCAGUUCUUUGAGGAGCUUGGGAUCGAAACCGACGAAGACUACUCUGUUUCUCUGCCGGACUUGUGAGGACCACGGUCCGCAGAGAACUGGCAUUCAAGCCCCUCGAAGGUCUGAUGGUGUCUGCAAACCUUUAGCCUCCGAAAGUCAUGUUUAAUUCUGUCCGCUCAGUGAAUCCGGCUGUUUAGCGACUGGUUGCCGCUGAACUCUUCCUGGCUGGGUGGGAAAUCAUUGUGAAACCGACCCAUUUCUAGAGUUUUUCUCCUUUGGAGAUCUUUGAGCGAAUCGUCCUUUUGAUUUGCAUUCUUCGGAUGGCCAUAUCAGCUUUUAAACUGUUUUGAGGUCAUGUCAAACAGGAGAUUACUUGGCCCUGUCAAUCUGUUCAAGAUUGUACUGAUUUUCUUGUUGCACCCCACUCUCGUUUCUCCAACUCCCUUACGACAUAAAUAUAUUCACCUCAGAAUAAAAUAUUAGUCUUCGCAGCCCUCUGGGAUGAAGCCGACAUUUCUUAUUGCAAUCGUAAUGAAGUACACCUUAUUCAGAGACUUUGACCCCCUGGUAAUUUAGCCAGGAGAAAUUUUCCAACCCGUCAUUGGAAGUUUGAAAACUGCGAAGGGAAGAUGGCCAGCAGAUACGUCACUGGCGGUUCUGAAUACCCACAAGUAUCGUUCUAAAGUUUGAUCCAGGGCUCCGCUCGAGUUCUCUGAACUGUGGGCAGCUCUGCAUGGGUGUGGCGUUCUAGCAGUGUUAGUGUAAUUACGAAACUGCAAAGAGGGGCUUUAUAAAUGAACGAGAGGAUUUUCUUACUGGGGUCUUCAUCAACAGUGAUGGAGUUUAGUAUGAGCUGGGAGCGUGUGCUUGAUGAAUUUUGUGUUUUCACGUACAUUUCUGUGGAGAUAAUUAACCCAGAAGUACAAAUAAAUGUUUAUUUUAAUAUGGAAAUCAUACUUAUGUCUUUAUUUAUGAUACGUGACUUUCGGGGCAGUUUCAGAGUCAUUGGUGGUGUCGUGUAUCUGUCUGGACUUGAGUGUCGGCUGGAACGGGCAAUGACAGGUUCUUUCUCAUCUCAGUUCAAAAUAAAUUUAUUAUCAAAGUACGUGGACGUCACCGGAUACAACCCUGAGACCUACUCCAUCCGCCAAAAGCGAAACUUCCCGGCGACCAAGCAUUCCCUUUCCGAUGUGUGGGUCCAUGGCGGCCUUGUGCCUCCCUCAGGGUGGAGGAGCAACACCUUGUAUUCAGUCUGGGUAGCCUCCAACCUGAUGGAAUGAACAUCGAUUUCACCUCCUGGUUUAAAAAAAAUUGCUUUCUCUCCCCUCUACCUCCAUUCCUCCCUCUGGCCUCUUACCUCUUCUCACCUGCCGAUCACUUCCCCCUGGGUCCCCUCUUCCUUCCCUUUCUCCUAUGGUCCUCUCUCCUCUCCAAUCAAAUUCCUCCUUCUCCAACUCUAGUCUACUUUUUACGUCUGCCUGGCUUCACUGUCACCUGCCAGCUAUCCUCCUUACUCUCCCCCCACCUUUGUGUUCUGCCAUCUUCCCCCUUCCUUUCCAGUCCUGAUGAAGGGUCUCAGCCUGAACCAUUGACGGUUUAUUCAUUUCCAUGGAUGCUGCCCAACUUCCUGGGUUCUUUCAGUGCUUUGUGUGUAUUGCCUGAUAUUUAUUUUCUUGUUCAGUUAUAGAAUAACAUCCACAAUAGAAUCUGUGAAAGACUGCCCCCAAUGGACAACAAUAAUAAAUAAAUAAGCAAUAAAUGUUGAGAACAGGAGAUGAAGAGUCCUGGAAAGAGAGUCCGUUGAUUCCGGGAACAGUUCAGUGGUGGGGCAAGUGAAGUUAUCCCCUCUAGUUCAGCAGCAGGGGAGGGUGCCCUCAGCAGUGUAGCACCAGCAAUAGAUGACAAACUGAGUCAGGUUUCAAUGUUAAAACCACUGUCUUUA